rnacentral:misc_RNA from 1 species
GCUACCCACUGUGAGCUAAAUUUAGCGGAGUUACAAAAAUAACAGAAAUAACAACCCACUGAUCUGAAAUAAUCGGUCAAGUGAGUUGAAAGUGAUGGCAUUUAAACGGCGGACCGUUUUGACGUUGAUUUAAAAGGAGAGGCCAGUUUUGUCCUACUUGUGAAUUAGGGCAAAACUAACGCAGGAUGGCCAGCCACCACUAUAAAAGGUGUAGGCAAGACGCUCGCAAACGCUAUCAAUCGCCAACUUCGGCUUCGCCUAAAUCCGUCGCUGACCCAGAAGAGAUCAGCCAUCUUUCUUUCUUUCUUUUGUUUUUUCUGUAUUUCAACAACUGGUAAUCGUCUAUGGAUUUGUUUUGUUACGUUGUUCUCUUAGUGGAUUACUCAGAUCCUCAGAGAGAGUGAUGAAUCUCUUUGUGCUAACGCAGCCCCAAUCUCUAGCAAGACUGGCGCAAUGAGCGGCACUUUCCACACGAGAUUUCUGACUCUUCUUAUUUUAAAACAAUUUCUUUAUUUUUCUUCUUGUUCAGUAAUGUUGGAUAAGCUAUUCUUCAUCUCUUUCAUCAUGUCCUCUCUU